CGGCGGACGGGUGAGUAACACGUGGAUAACCUACCUAUAAGACUUGGAUAACUUCGGGAAACCGGAGCUAAUACCGGAUAAUAUAUUGAACCGCAUGGUUCAAUAGUGAAAGACGGUUUUGCUGUCACUUAUAGAUGGAUCCGCGCCGCAUUGGCUAGUUGGUAAGGUAACGGCUUACCAAGGCAACGAUGCGUAGCCGACCUGAGAGGGUGAUCGGCCACACUGGAACUGAGACACGGUCCAG
rnacentral:rRNA from 1 species